rnacentral:lncRNA from 1 species
GAAAGAAUCGGAAUCGGAAUUGGAAAAAGUCGAUCGACAAAUCGUUUCAGUUGAAGAUCUUAAGUCCAAACUCGAAACUGCUUCAGUAUUACUUCAUGACUUGAAAUCCGAAUUAGCUGCUUACAUGGGCGAAAAUCAUGAGAAAGAAAUGGAAAAUAACGAAUCGUUAAAUAACAAUAGCAAUACACGUAAACAAAUGCAAGAAGCUAUCGAUGUAGAAAAGAUUAACCUUGAGGAAGUGAACAAAAGCAUCGAAUUAGCAACGAAUGAGGUCAAAUCAUUGAAACAAGCUGCAAAUUCAUUGAACUCGGAACUCGAGAAAGAGAAAUCA